rnacentral:sRNA from 1 species
CAAUAUUCAUGAUGGUCAAAGCUCAUGAGAAUGGUACGUUUUUUGACGUGCGAUUUUCGAGGCUUU